ACACAGCGCGACCUGAGCCCCGGUCUUUUCUGCAUUUCCGCCUAAGGGUCGCCAGGCGUCGCUAUGCGCAGCGUGUGCCCAGGGCGACAGUACUCGACCGCAGAGGGACAGCGCGCCCGUAAGCCUGUUAAAUAAAACACAUUUUAUAGGCAUAGCAUACCUAAAACAACACCCGAGCAAGCUUGAGACAAAAUCCCCAAGAAGAAAUACAAACAGUAUUAAAAGCCCUUGAUUUUCUUUUGCUUGUAGAGAACAUUGGCUAAUCCCUCCUGUCUAUUGUACCUCUGAAAGCGGUGCAGGUCGCGCCUGUGUCCUGCAUUUCUGUGCGCAUUAUACUCGCGUGUUAAAGUAUUGUGGUUUAUAUACGUACGGGCUGAGGACGGGAAGGCGAAGUCAGUCACUCUGCUAGAUCUGUGUCUGACAACGCCCCUAGCGAAAAUGGAACAUUUGCUCAAUUAGUCUUUGUGAAAGUCACGCCGGCUCCGCGGUUCCCGGAGUGUGAGACAUGACAGGGCAGCGUAGUUGCGCGUCCCGUCUUGGGAAGGCCGGGAGGCACACAUUCCGCUCCUCGUCAUCUUGCAAUUGCUCAGCACACAUCUGUUCUCGCAGAUCUGCCGCUAGAGGCCGCGGUGCGGAACAGCGAAGGGAGGCGCCAUUUUCAGCCAUGAGCCCGGGUCGGAGAGCGUGGAGAGGGGCGAUAGAAAACCAGCGUGCUCAAAGAAAAAGCUGUUGA
rnacentral:lncRNA from 1 species